ACUAAGCGUACACGGUGGAUGCCCUGGCAGUCAGAGGCGAUGAAGGACGUGCUAAUCUGCGAUAAGCGUCGGUAAGGUGAUAUGAACCGUUAUAACCGGCGAUUUCCGAAUGGGGAAACCCAGUGUGUUUCGACACACUAUCAUUAACUGAAUCCAUAGGUUAAUGAGGCGAACCGGGGGAACUGAAACAUCUAAGUACCCCGAGGAAAAGAAAUCAACCGAGAUUCCCCCAGUAGCGGCGAGCGAACGGGGAGCAGCCCAGAGCCUGAAUCAGUGUGUGUGUUAGUGGAAGCGUCUGGAAAGGCGCGCGAUACAGGGUGACAGCCCCGUACACAAAAAUGCACAUGCUGUGAGCUCGAUGAGUAGGGCGGGACACGUGGUAUCCUGUCUGAAUAUGGGGGGACCAUCCUCCAAGGCUAAAUACUCCUGACUGACCGAUAGUGAACCAGUACCGUGAGGGAAAGGCGAAAAGAACCCCGGCGAGGGGAGUGAAAAAGAACCUGAAACCGUGUACGUACAAGCAGUGGGAGCCUCUUUAUGGGGUGACUGCGUACCUUUUGUAUAAUGGGUCAGCGACUUAUAUUCUGUAGCAAGGUUAACCGAAUAGGGGAGCCGAAGGGAAACCGAGUCUUAACUGGGCGUUAAGUUGCAGGGUAUAGACCCGAAACCCGGUGAUCUAGCCAUGGGCAGGUUGAAGGUUGGGUAACACUAACUGGAGGACCGAACCGACUAAUGUUGAAAAAUUAGCGGAUGACUUGUGGCUGGGGGUGAAAGGCCAAUCAAACCGGGAGAUAGCUGGUUCUCCCCGAAAGCUAUUUAGGUAGCGCCUCGUGAAUUCAUCUCCGGGGGUAGAGCACUGUUUCGGCAAGGGGGUCAUCCCGACUUACCAACCCGAUGCAAACUGCGAAUACCGGAGAAUGUUAUCACGGGAGACACACGGCGGGUGCUAACGUCCGUCGUGAAGAGGGAAACAACCCAGACCGCCAGCUAAGGUCCCAAAGUCAUGGUUAAGUGGGAAACGAUGUGGGAAGGCCCAGACAGCCAGGAUGUUGGCUUAGAAGCAGCCAUCAUUUAAAGAAAGCGUAAUAGCUCACUGGUCGAGUCGGCCUGCGCGGAAGAUGUAACGGGGCUAAACCAUGCACCGAAGCUGCGGCAGCGACGCUUAUGCGUUGUUGGGUAGGGGAGCGUUCUGUAAGCCUGCGAAGGUGUACUGUGAGGUAUGCUGGAGGUAUCAGAAGUGCGAAUGCUGACAUAAGUAACGAUAAAGCGGGUGAAAAGCCCGCUCGCCGGAAGACCAAGGGUUCCUGUCCAACGUUAAUCGGGGCAGGGUGAGUCGACCCCUAAGGCGAGGCCGAAAGGCGUAGUCGAUGGGAAACAGGUUAAUAUUCCUGUACUUGGUGUUACUGCGAAGGGGGGACGGAGAAGGCUAUGUUGGCCGGGCGACGGUUGUCCCGGUUUAAGCGUGUAGGCUGGUUUUCCAGGCAAAUCCGGAAAAUCAAGGCUGAGGCGUGAUGACGAGGCACUACGGUGCUGAAGCAACAAAUGCCCUGCUUCCAGGAAAAGCCUCUAAGCAUCAGGUAACAUCAAAUCGUACCCCAAACCGACACAGGUGGUCAGGUAGAGAAUACCAAGGCGCUUGAGAGAACUCGGGUGAAGGAACUAGGCAAAAUGGUGCCGUAACUUCGGGAGAAGGCACGCUGAUACGUAGGUGAAGUCCCUUGCGGAUGGAGCUGAAAUCAGUCGAAGAUACCAGCUGGCUGCAACUGUUUAUUAAAAACACAGCACUGUGCAAACACGAAAGUGGACGUAUACGGUGUGACGCCUGCCCGGUGCCGGAAGGUUAAUUGAUGGGGUUAGCGGUAACGCGAAGCUCUUGAUCGAAGCCCCGGUAAACGGCGGCCGUAACUAUAACGGUCCUAAGGUAGCGAAAUUCCUUGUCGGGUAAGUUCCGACCUGCACGAAUGGCGUAAUGAUGGCCAGGCUGUCUCCACCCGAGACUCAGUGAAAUUGAACUCGCUGUGAAGAUGCAGUGUACCCGCGGCAAGACGGAAAGACCCCGUGAACCUUUACUAUAGCUUGACACUGAACAUUGAGCCUUGAUGUGUAGGAUAGGUGGGAGGCUUUGAAGUGUGGACGCCAGUCUGCAUGGAGCCGACCUUGAAAUACCACCCUUUAAUGUUUGAUGUUCUAACGUUGGCCCCUAAUCGGGGUUGCGGACAGUGUCUGGUGGGUAGUUUGACUGGGGCGGUCUCCUCCUAAAGAGUAACGGAGGAGCACGAAGGUUGGCUAAUCCUGGUCGGACAUCAGGAGGUUAGUGCAAUGGCAUAAGCCAGCUUGACUGCGAGCGUGACGGCGCGAGCAGGUGCGAAAGCAGGUCAUAGUGAUCCGGUGGUUCUGAAUGGAAGGGCCAUCGCUCAACGGAUAAAAGGUACUCCGGGGAUAACAGGCUGAUACCGCCCAAGAGUUCAUAUCGACGGCGGUGUUUGGCACCUCGAUGUCGGCUCAUCACAUCCUGGGGCUGAAGUAGGUCCCAAGGGUAUGGCUGUUCGCCAUUUAAAGUGGUACGCGAGCUGGGUUUAGAACGUCGUGAGACAGUUCGGUCCCUAUCUGCCGUGGGCGCUGGAGAACUGAGGGGGGCUGCUCCUAGUACGAGAGGACCGGAGUGGACGCAUCACUGGUGUUCGGGUUGUCAUGCCAAUGGCACUGCCCGGUAGCUAAAUGCGGAAGAGAUAAGUGCUGAAAGCAUCUAAGCACGAAACUUGCCCCGAGAUGAGUUCUCCCUGACUCCUUGAGAGUCCUGAAGGAACGUUGAAGACGACGACGUUGAUAGGCCGGGUGUGUAAGCGCAGCGAUGCGUUGAGCUAACCGGUACUAAUGAACCGUGAGGCUUAACC
rnacentral:rRNA from 1 species